UACGUAGGGAGCUAGCGUUGUUCGGAAUCACUGGGCGUAAAGGGAGUGUAGGCGGAAUGAUAAGUUAGGAGUGAAAUGUACAGGCUUAACCUGUGAUCUGCUUCUAAUACUGUCAGUCUAGAGUAUGGGAGAGGAUAAUGGAAUUCCAGGUGUAGUGGUAAAAUACGUAGAUAUCUGGAAGAACACCAGUUGCGAAGGCGGUUAUCUGGCCCAAUACUGACGCUGAGGCUCGAAAGCAAGGGGAGCAAACAGG
rnacentral:rRNA from 1 species